AUCUUCUUUGAAACUUAAUCUAAAGUCCAGUCUAUGAAGCUUUCGCUAGUCCAUCCAAUAACCCAGAACACUGAACUAGCAUCUUCUGCAAGCUGAUCAGUAAUGCACAUAUAAACAUUUUGAAGACUCAAAUUUACAAAGAAGUUGCAAGCAUCGAUCAGAUUUCCAACUCAGUGGUUCCUCUCUACCUUCAAAAUUUCAAUGAUCUUCACGUAAAGAGUCAAAGAGUGGGGCAUCAAGUAGAUGUGCCGGCUGCCAAGGUUCAGGAAUGAAGAUAUCAACCCGGCAAAUUGGGCCAGGGAACAUGUCUGCCUGUCCAGAGUGCAGAGGCUCAGUAAAGGGCUAAAGGGUGGGGCCAGGGAUGAUCCGUCGAAUGAAAUGUCCAGAGUGCAGAGGCUCAGGUAUGCAAUGCCAAGCAUCUAAGUUUUUGAUGAGUUGUUAAUCCGAGGGACAAGCAGAUGAGGUCAUCAACGAGAAAGAUAAAUGUCAACGGUGCAAAGGGAACAAAGUUACCAGGGAAAAGAAGGUACUAGAGAUGUUGAAAAACGAAUGCAGAACGGACUACAGAUUGUGUUUUGGGAAUAGAACAAAAAGUUAUGCCAAGCACUGGUCCAGAAAUUUCCUUUUUGUAGAAUUCUCGGAGGACCCUUGCAGAUUCUUUCCAACCCUGCACAACUCAACCCUGAACAACUUAAGCUUUUUUGGCUUAUGUGGUCGAGUUAUUUGGACCUCAGUAAAACACUUACCGGUAAAUGUUUUUUUUUUGUUUUCUGGUUUGCCAAAUCUUUUGACAAUCUACAAGACUUCCGUUUCUGAUGAGCGCUACCCAUCAUCCCACACAUGCUUCUUCUGAUUGGAAAGCACACACUUGAGUAUGAGGGAUACAGAGAAACUGAAAACAGAUUUGCUGGUUCUGGAAGGUUGUAGAGGGUUUAUGUCCAUGGAGCAGCAGAGGUAGCUUCUUUUCUAUUGGACCUCAGUGAAAAAUGCAGGUAAGCACUUUGAAGCAUUGAGCUUUAGCAAGUCUGUUUUCUCCGGCCUAUCAGUCCAUCCACCUAUUUAAUAUCAAAGUCGGGAUGGCCGAGUGGUCUAAGGCGCCAGACUCAAGUUCUGGUCCUCGUAAGAGGGCGUGGGUUCAAACAACUUCUGACAUCUCACAUUUUUGGGUUAAGAUCAUUCCUGAUUGUUUUAUUUGUUCACAUUUUUGGGUUAAGAUCAUUCCUGAUUGUUUUAUUUGUUCACAUUUUUGGGUUCAGAUCACGCCCUCGUCAGAGGGUGUGGGUUCAGAUAUUUUUUUCUUCUGGUUGUUUGGUUUUCA